rnacentral:rRNA from 3 species
UAGCGCGGUGGUCCCACCUGACCCCAUGCCGAACUCAGAAGUGAAACGCCGUAGCGCCGAUGGUAGUGUGGGGUCUCCCCAUGUGAGAGUAGGGAACUGCCAG